GAUAAAUUCCAGUGACAUGCAAUUUUUGUAAUGGCAAAAUAUUUGUAAGAAACUGCAAACAAAUGCAAAUGUGCAGUCGAUGUGUGGAAUGCGACAACAUUAUACUCGAUAAUUUCAAUUAUUGCGAGUGUUGUGGCUUAGAAACAAUUAGGCAGUUAAGAAUAAACAAGGCUCGGGCACUAUCAAGCCUUUUUCCUAAAAAGCAAAAAGCUGCUUCUGCUGCAUCACAAGAUUUAUUAGAUGACUUUCAGGUUGAUAACGAAGAGUUGACGCUAAUCGAGGAUUCAUUAAUGAUUGAUGAUGCUUCUUCGGACAACAAGAAAAAACAGCUACUGUCAGUCAGCAGUGAUGAUGCUUCUUCGGACAACAAGGAAAAACAGGUGCUGUCAGUCGGCAGUGAUUUUAUUUCUUUAAAAGAAGAAGAGAAAGAAAACAUAUCAAAUGGCGGGCAGACCCCCGAAAAAACGUAAAUAUUCAAGCAGGUUUAGUACAGAAUAUCAGCACCCCAGGACUAACUAUUUAUAUUUAGCACUUUCAAAUAACACCAUUCAAGUAUCAGUACAUUCAGUUGGUUCUAUGAUUUAUGAAUGUGUUCAAUGUCAAGCACUUCAUUUUUUAGGUGAAAAAAUUAAAAAUCAUUUUAAAAAUUGUUGUCAUAAUGGGAAGGUAUACAUAGACCCAGACAGAGUCUUAAAGCCAAUUCCAGAAAUAUUAUUAGCAUUUUUUUUAACUAAACAGAACAGAUGAAAGUGCUCGACAAUAUCUUUACACUGAAAUUCCGACUCCGAUAUCUCAGUCAGCGGCUGAUAAAGUAAUUGCAAGAAUGUAUAAUUAUUCCUUUUCUGAUCGGGAACGAUAUUAUCUCCGGCUAUUACUUCUUCACGUCAAAGGGCCGACUUGCUUCAGAGAUGUUAGAACUUAUUAAUAUGAAAAUAUUAUUUACACAUCAUUUCGAGAAGCUGCUCAAGCAAGGGGGCUGCUUUUUGACGAUCAAGAAUGGGAAAGAUGUUUGGAUGAAGCAAUUGGUUUCAAACUUCCUCGGCAAUUACGACAGCUGUUUACGUUAAUUUGCGUGUUUUGUGAAGUAACUGAUCCUAAUGCUCUUUGGGAAAAAUUUGCAUCACAUUUUAUCGAAGACUUUACAAGAUCCCGCCCUGAAAUAUUAUCCAAACAGUUGGCUUUACAAGAAAUUGAUGAAACAUUAAAACUCCACGGAAAGAGACUAACAGAUUUCGGACUUCCGGAGCCAGGUAUUGAUGAAAAUAGUAUUUUCUUAUCUGAUCCCGUUUCUGACUAUUAAUAAGAGUUAUUUACAUAACCUAUAUUAACGAUUGAAUUUGAUUGUUUUGUUAAUUUGUCUUAGUUUAUUUUGAAUGUUGAUUUAAAAUAAAAAUAAUUUGUGUA